ACAACAUUCAGACCGUCGGUCUAUCGAGUAAUAGCUCGAUGGAAGAAUUUCUCUUUGUCGU
rnacentral:pre_miRNA from 1 species